rnacentral:rRNA from 1 species
AGUCGAACGAUGAUCAGGAGCUUGCUCCUGUGAUUAGUGGCGAACGGGUGAGUAACACGUGAGUAACCUGCCCCUGACUCUGGGAUAAGCGUUGGAAACGACGUCUAAUACUGGAUACGACUUCCGGCCGCAUGGUCUGGUUGUGGAAAGAUUUUUUGGUUGGGGAUGGACUCGCGGCCUAUCAGCUUGUUGGUGAGGUAAUGGCUCACCAAGGCGACGACGGGUAGCCGGCCUGAGAGGGUGACCGGCCACACUGGGACUGAGGCACGGCCCAGACUCCUACGGGAGGCAGCAGUGGGGAAUAUUGCACAAUGGGCGAAAGCCUGAUGCAGCAACGCCGCGUGAGGGAUGACGGCCUUCGGGUUGUAAACCUCUUUUAGUAGGGAAGAAGCGAAAGUGACGGUACCUGCAGAAAAAGCACCGGCUAACUACGUGCCAGCAGCCGCGGUAAUACGUAGGGUGCAAGCGUUGUCCGGAAUUAUUGGGCGUAAAGAGCUCGUAGGCGGUUUGUCGCGUCUGCUGUGAAAUCCCGAGGCUCAACCUCGGGCUUGCAGUGGGUACGGGCAGACUAGAGUGCGGUAGGGGAGAUUGGAAUUCCUGGUGUAGCGGUGGAAUGCGCAGAUAUCAGGAGGAACACCGAUGGCGAAGGCAGAUCUCUGGGCCGUAACUGACGCUGAGGAGCGAAAGCAUGGGGAGCGAACAGGAUUAGAUACCCUGGUAGUCCAUGCCGUAAACGUUGGGCGCUAGAUGUAGGGACCUUUCCACGGUUUCUGUGUCGUAGCUAACGCAUUAAGCGCCCCGCCUGGGGAGUACGGCCGCAAGGCUAAAACUCAAAGGAAUUGAC